rnacentral:rRNA from 1 species
UACGGGGGGGGCUAGCGUUGUUCGGAAUUACUGGGCGUAAAGGGCUCGUAGGCGGCCAACUAAGUCAGACGUGAAAUCCCCAGGCUCAACCUGGGAACUGCGUCUGAUACUGGAUGGCUUGAAUCCGGGAGAGGGAUGCAGAAUUCCAGGUGUAGCGGUGAAAUGCGUAGAUAUCUGGAGGAAUACCGGUGGCGAAGGCGGCAUCCUGGACCGGCAUUGACGCUGAGGAGCGAAAGCCAGGGGAGCAAACGGG